rnacentral:rRNA from 1 species
CCUACGGGUGACAGCAGUCGAGAAUCAUUCACAAUGGCGGAAACCCUGAUGGUGCGACGCCGCGUGGGGGAAUGAAGGUCUUCGGAUUGUAAACCCCUGUCAUGUGGGAGCAAAUUAAAAAGAUAGUACCACAAGAGGAAGAGACGGCUAACUCGGUGCCAGCAGCCGCGGUAAUACAGAGGUCUCAAGCGUUGUUCGGAAUCACUGGGCGUAAAGGGUGGGUAGGCUGUUUCGAAAGUCGUGUGUGAAAGGCGCGGGCUCAACCCGCGGUCGGCAGAUGAUACUGCGAGACUAGAGUAAGGGAGGGGGAAGCGGAAUGCGCGGUGUAGCAGUGAAAUGCGUAGAUAUCGAGAGGAACACUCGUGGCGAAGGCGGGUUCCUGGACAGUAACUGACGCUGAGGCACGAAGGCCAGGGGAGCGAAAGGGAUUAGAUACCCUGGUAGUC